AACGAACGCUGGCGGCAUGCCUAACACAUGCAAGUCGAACGAGAACUGCGGGCAGCUUGGCGCACUGCUGCGUAACGCGGGGGAAGCUGCCCAUAGGUUCGGAACAACUCCACGGAGGGGGAGCUCAUACCGGAUAGGGAGCUAGGACCACAGAUCUGCCGCCGUUGUAUGAGCCGGCGUUGGAGUAGCUAGGUGGUAGGGUAAAAGCCUACCAAGGCGACGAUCCAUAGCUGGCCUGAGAGGAUGAUCAGCCACACUGGCACUGGGACACGGCCCAGACUCCUGCGGGAGGCAGCAGUGGCGAAUAUUGGACAACGGGCGGAAGGCUGAUGCAGCACUGCUGCGUGAGUGAUGAAGGCCGUGGGGUUGGAAAGCUCGUUUACCCGGGAUCAUAUUGACAUUACCGGGAGAAUAAGCUCCGGCUAACUCCGUG
rnacentral:rRNA from 1 species